rnacentral:rRNA from 1 species
AUUGAACGCUGGCGGCAUGCCUUACACAUGCAAGUCGAACGGCAGCACGGGUGCUUGCACCUGGUGGCGAGUGGCGAACGGGUGAGUAAUACAUCGGAACAUGUCCUGUAGUGGGGGAUAGCCCGGCGAAAGCCGGAUUAAUACCGCAUACGAUCUACGGAUGAAAGCGGGGGACCUUCGGGCCUCGCGCUAUAGGGUUGGCCGAUGGCUGAUUAGCUAGUUGGUGGGGUAAAGGCCUACCAAGGCGAGGAUCAGUCGCUGGUCUGAGAGGACGACCAGCCACACUGGGACUGAGACACGGCCCAGACUCCUACGGGAGGCAGCAGUGGGGAAUUUUGGACAAGGGGCGAAAGCCUGAUCCAGCAAUGCCGCGUGUGUGAAGAAGGCCUUCGGGUUGUAAAGCACUUUUGUCCGGAAAGAAAUCCUUGGCCCUAAUACGGUCGGGGGAUGACGGUACCGGAAGAAUAAGCACCGGCUAACUACGU